ACAACGAAGAGUUUGAUACUGGCUCAGGAUGAACGCUAGCUACAGGCUUAACACAUGCAAGUCGAGGGGUUUCGAGGGAGCUUGCUUCCGAGAGACGACAGGCGCACGGGUGAGUAACGCGUAUCCAACCUGCCCUUCAUAUUGGGAUAGCCUCUCGAAAGGGAGAUUAAUACCGAAUAACAUAGUUUAGUUGCCUGACCAGACUAUGAAAGCUCCGGCGAU
rnacentral:rRNA from 1 species